rnacentral:misc_RNA from 1 species
GAUGAAGAACGUAGCGAAACGCGAUAUGUAAUGUGAAUUGCAGAAUUCAGUGAAUCAUCGAAUCUUUGACGCACAUUGCGCCUUCCAGUACUCUGGGAGGCAUGCCUGUCCGAGCGUCGUUUCAACCCUCAAGCCCUCGUGGUUUGGUGUUGGAGUCCUACAGUCUUGUAGUCUCCCAAAACCAGUGGCGGACCCGUCGCGGCCCUUCCUUUGCGUAGUAGCAUUCGCCUCGCAUCGGGAGCCCACGGGACUUUCUAGCCUCUAAACCCCCCACAAGUCCGCUCCGGCGGCACAAGGUUGACCUCGGAUCAGGUAGGAAUACCCGCUGAACUUAAGCAUAUCAAUAAGCGGAGGA